GUUACACAGCUGGGAGGUGUAGAGCAGGGAUUUACACCCAGGUCUGUCUCACUCUGAAUUCUGUCUUCUUUACAGGAGGCCUGGUUCUAAUUCUCAAAUUGCAUGAAUUGACUGGAAGCUCAGGAAGAGGAUCCUCCCCGGGAAAGAGGAGUCUUUACUUCAGCUUGGAAUUGGAGCAAGUAUUUACUGGGCACCUACUAUGUUCUGUGCACUGGACUGGAAGCUGGGGAGACUGAGAUGAAUAAAGCUGGGUCCUUGUAUUAAUGAGCGCGUGGCAUUAACCUGGAUUGUCUUGUGCAACUCUACAUAAAAGGGCCCGUGGGCUGAUGGAGCCUGCUGUAUCCCAACGCUCUGGAGAAACUGCUUGCUUUGAUUCAAGAUGCUCACUAUCC
rnacentral:lncRNA from 1 species